rnacentral:rRNA from 1 species
GCUAAGGUAGCAUAAUAAUUUGUCUUUUCAUUGAAGACUAGUAUGAAAGGUAUAACGAAGCUUAACUGUCUCCUUAUUUUAAAACAAAACUAAUUUAAAAGUGAAAAAGCUUUUAUUUUUAAGAAGGACGAGAAGACCCUAUAGAGUUUUAGUAAAAAUUAAUAUUUUAUUAGUUAUACUUUUAUUGGGGCAAUACAAGAAAAAUAAAAAUCUUUAUAUUUAUAAACCCUCAAAGAGAACAAAAAAAACUACCUUAGGGAUAACAGCGUAAUCUUACCAGAGAGUCCUAAUUGAAGGUAAGGAUUGCGACCUCGAUGUUGGACUAAGGAAACUUUUAUAUGUAGAAGUAUAAAGUAGUAAGCCUGUUCGGCUUUUAAACCCUUACGUGAUCUGAGUUCAGACCGG